UGGGGAAUUUUGGACAAUGGACGAAAGCCUGAUCCAGCAAUGCCGCGUGUGUGAAGAAGGCCUUCGGGUUGUAAAGCACUUUUGUCCGGAAAGAAAUCCUUGGCUCUAAUACAGUCGGGGGAUGACGGUACCGGAAGAAUAAGCACCGGCUAACUACGUGCCAGCAGCCGCGGUAAUACGUAGGGUGCAAGCGUUAAUCGGAAUUACUGGGCGUAAAGCGUGCGCAGGCGGUUUGCUAAGACCGAUGUGAAAUCCCCGGGCUCAACCUGGGAACUGCAUUGGUGACUGGCAGGCUAGAGUAUGGCAGAGGGGGGUAGAAUUCCACGUGUAGCAGUGAAAUGCGUAGAGAUGUGGAGGAAUACCGAUGGCGAAGGCAGCCCCCUGGGCCAAUACUGACGCUCAUGCACGAAAGCGUGGGGAGCAAACAGGAUUAGAUACCCUGGUAGUCCACGCCCUAAACGAUGUCAACUAGUUGUUGGGGAUUCAUUUCCUUAGUAACGUAGCUAACGCGUGAAGUUGACCGCCUGGGGAGUACGGUCGCAAGA
rnacentral:rRNA from 1 species